AAAAGCAAAAUAAUAAUCCAUCAAGAAAAAAGGAAAGAAAAGACAAGACAGAAACAUAGAAAACACUAAUUUUACACCUCUACAUUCAUCUCUUCAUUUUUCCACUAAAAAGAAAUUGACAAAUUAUCAAACCCAACUUCGAAUUUCCAAAAUAAUAUUACCUUUUCCAAAUUGUAGGAGCAGAUUACAAAAGAAAUAGAGAAUUGCGGGCUCAUCUAUCCUUUCUUGACAAUACCAUAAAUUUGGAUCUUCACAAAAUUUGAAGAAAAAUUUGGAGCUGAUUGAAGAAAAUUUAGCGGUAAGAUUGGUUUUUCUUGUGAUUCUAAAGAGUGAAGAUGAAAGGGCAAGGAAGCUAUGUGCCACCUCCAUAUAUAGCCUUAGGGCAGUCUGAUCAAGAAUUUGAAGCUGCAAUUACAGAGAACAAUGCUGUACAAGCUCCGGCUUCUUCGAGCGAUGGCGGUGCGGGUGCCGUGCAAUGGUCCUCUGGAAUUUGUGCUUGUUGCGACGAUACGCCGAGCUGUAUGCUACUAUAUAUAUCUGACUACUUGUGACUGACCCAUUGAUUUUAUCAGAAGGAUGAAUUUUGUCAAAAGGUUGUAUAGGUCUCUUUUGCCCCUGCUACCUCUUUGCUAAGAAUGCCGAGUUUCUGGGUUCUGGAACCCUUAUAGGACCUUGUAUGAUUCAUCUUUUGCUGUGGGGCCUCAUCAAUGGUGUUUGCUGCUUUCUAGCAGAUUGUCCACUUUUGGGGUUGCCUAGCUGCUUCAUUUCAUGUUACGCUUGUAAUUAUCGAAAGAUGCUUCGUACUAAGUACAAUCUGCCGGUAUGUCCUUUCUGUUUUGUGUGCUUUUUGGGCUGAUAUAUCCUUUCAAUAGACAACGUCAUUCAUACUGAUGACUAAAAGUGAAUAGUCAAACUCAAAAUUAGUUCUAACUUUAUACUCAUUCAUUGUGGUCACUAGUUGGGCAAUUGGCAACACAAUUAUCAGGGGCUUAUGCUCUUUUUUGUCUUCAUCAUGAAUUGUACAUUAUGGAAUCUAUUUAGUAUUCUUAUAACAAACAUGAUUUUUCCCGAUACAAUCAGGAUUAGAAGUUAGAACCAGCUUUCUCCAUGUAAUAAAAUGUUUUGGAAUAAUUUCUCCUUUGUUACAAUGAACUAGAGCAAAGAGAAGGCCCGAAAAAUGUUUUGGGUAAAGCUUUUAGGAAAAAUUGGAUUGGUGAAAGGAUAAGGGGAGGGGGAGAGCUUCUAAAUGUCUAUUUUGUUGCCAAGGGAUUCAUCACAAUUUUGCCUGCCUGUUUCCAAUAUGAUUGUGACAAACUUUGCAUCAGAGAGCUGCGAUUGCACUCUUUCCUCGAUUGUUGUGUUCACUUUCUACCACAUCAUUAUGUUGUGCUGCCUUUGGAAGUAGCUUUACAAGUUUGUUACCACAACUUUGAAAACAUUCUUCAAAUGACCCUUUCUUAUAACUAGUUACCACUCACCAUCAUAUAUAUAUAUAUAUAUAUAUAUAUAUAUAUAUAUGAGAAGAUCACAUGAGAAUGCUCCUUACAUGAGAAAUGAGAAUGAAUCUCAACCACACGAUUGGAUUAGAGUUAAAAAAAAAAUUCGAAUUUUUUUUUCUUCUUCUAAUAUUCAUUUUUUAGAGUUAUAUCACUUUUUCAGUAGAGUUACAUCACUUAUUCAUUAGAGUUAUAUCGCGUAAAAUUCGUUUUCAUUUCACAUGUAAGUA